rnacentral:lncRNA from 1 species
GAAGCAGCUAGCACAGAGAUUCUGGGGGCAGAGGGGCAUGCCUGCUGUGUCUGAAGGACAACAAUAGGGAGGCUUGGGAGAUUGGAGUGAAGUGGGAAAAGGAAAUGCAGUAGCAAGUGAGGUCAUGGUGGGGAACAGAGAGUCAGAUCCCGGACCAUCUGAUAGGUUGUGUGAAAGACUGGCUUUUAGUCUCAGACAGGCUGGGUACCGCUGAGGGUUUUUGAACAGAGCAGUGACUUAAUCUGAUUUAGGGUUUUACCCAAUUUCCAGAAGUAGCAGUGGCAGAGGUUUUAAUGGCAACAUCCUGUGCCUGGUGAUAUUGAUGUUGUCAGUGCAAACCACUGUGCCCAUGCUAAGUGGGAAUGGCAAUGCCGUCUCCAAAAUGCAAUCUCCUACUGUUCUCCAUCUGAUUUAGAGCACUGGUUCUGGCUCUGUAGCCUCUAAGCUUGUUGCUCUGGUCCUCC